rnacentral:rRNA from 1 species
UACGUAGGUGGCAAGCGUUGUCCGGAAUUAUUGGGCGUAAAGCGCGCGCAGGCGGUCUUUUAAGUCUGAUGUGAAAGCCCACGGCUCAACCGUGGAGGGUCAUUGGAAACUGGGAGACUUGAGUGCAGAAGAGAAGAGUGGAAUUCCACGUGUAGCGGUGAAAUGCGUAGAGAUGUGGAGGAACACCAGUGGCGAAGGCGGUUCUCUGGGACGGUACUGACGCUGAGACGCGAAAGCGUGGGGAGCGAACAGG